ensembl:lncRNA
ACAAUGUUUUUUUAAAAUAAUCUAUUGCCUUCAGAUGAAAUAAAUGCUUUGAUACUUAAUUAAAAAUUCCAUCAGAAAAUACAAGUGCUCUAAAAUAGUUCUUCCUUCCCUUUUGGAAAUUGCAAGUUAGAGGGAGAUGGAUGUCAGGAAAAAAGUGACAUGGAAACUGAAACUUGAAAGAUAAGUAGGAUCAGAGGAAGGGGUAGAGGAAAACAGUGUUCAAAACAAAGGAAUUCUAGAAUUUACUUGAGAGAUAAUAGAGAAAAAUGAGAUAGAAAAGACUGAAAAAAAAUCAGAGAGAGAAAGUGGAAUCUGUUAAAAGGGAAGAGGAAAUGUAAAAAAGGAGAAGUUGGGGAAAAAAAGAGGACAGCAAUAGACAAGGGAAGACAGAGGGACCAGGAAAAGGAGUAGAGAGGAAACGGGAAGCUGCUGCAGAGGGAAAUGGAUGGAAAAACAGUCAAAAACAGGCAGUGAGAUAGGCAGGUGGAGAAUAACUGCAGAGAGAAUGCGACCCAGAAGAAAAAUCUCAAGGAAAGAAAGGGGAGGAGAUGGAAUGUGAGAACAGUUUAUGAGUGGCCUCCCCAGCCACCUCUUUUAACUACUCCUCCCACACGGCUUCCUCAUUUCCUCUUCCUUUUCUUCACUUCUUUCAGUUUCAAACCUGACCAAAAAGAGUAGGCGGGUAAGACACUAAAGUAGGGCAGAGAAGCCUCUGGCAGGAAGGCAGUAGUCAUUGUGUCUCAUGACCUCCUCCAGGUUGGCAGAUGAGUUUCAACGUGAAUUCCAGAGUGAAGGAAACUUAUUUUGAACUAUUUACAGCCUUUAAUAAUUCAGCCAUCAGACUCCAAAUAGUCAUGCGACCAGAGCCUCUGAUGAUGGCCCCUUCUCCAGGAACUCUUACAUUGGUCUCUGAGGGAGAUCUGACUGCUGUUUCCCCAAAACAGUACCCCCUGUUAGCAGGAAACAGUUAAGAUCCAUCUUCAUCUUUAUCCUUAGUCUAAUGGCAGGUAGAUGUACUUCUUUAGAUGGGGGAAUGAGACAGCCAGGUGAGAGGGAGUCCCUGGAGAAACUCUGACCAACCUGCCCACUGAGGUGGAGCCUUGGGAAGUUUAUGUCCUUUGCAGCACUGAGGAUCCCGGCCCCACCUCUUGCAUGUGGCACCUGGAAUUCAAACUGUCUGGUGAGAAGUGCUCUAGAGGAGGGACUCUGGCCUUGCAAGAGUCCCUGUUUCUCCUUGUUUCCUUUGCAUCCAAUAAAACCCUGCUUUAUUCAUUCUUUAAACUUUCUAUGAGUCUAAAUUUUCGUGGCUGUGGGAUGGACAAGAACCCUGUCUUCAGCUGAACUAAGGAAAAAUCCUGGAAAACCAUCUCUUUUCCUUUCUCUGUCUACCCAUCAUCCUAAAUUCCUUCUCUCUUUCUCUCUGGCCCUGAAUGCUGGGGAGAGCAUUACAUUGGAAGCAAGACUGCCCUGGAUCUGCACAUUGCUCUGCCACUGACUUAAUCUCUCUGGUCUGUUGAUGUGUCGUAAGUUAGAUAACUCUCCUACUUCUAAGAAGAUAAAAAUACUUGCUGCCCAAUUUAUGAACUACUGCACAUAUCACAGAUAUAUUUUGAGUGAUGAUUCAUUUCUAUAAAUAGAAUAAUUUGGAACAAGUUAAAUUUUGAUUUAAUUAUUUACAUGUCUCUCUAGAGCAGACGGAUUGGUUGAAAUGAUUGCAAAUUGAUCCUUUUUUCAUACCCCUUUGUUUAGCAAGGCAAGUAAUUAGUGAACAAUGCAACAAUAUGUAGCUUCUGUCUUAAAUAAAUAAGAAAGUAGUCUAUAGAUAGAAUACACUCUGAAACUGAAUACAAACCUGCUAUAUUUAUUUUCUAGGUAAUUUAAAUAUUGGAAAUUUGACUGGCUCUUUCAGUAUUUCUCUUGGCUGGUAACUCAGAUAUUUUGCAAAGUGAGUGUCAUAAUUAGUUUCCUUUCUUUUUGUUUCGAAGUGUGGUUUAGCACAGUGGUUCCUGCUUCCAUUACCACCAAGUGGAAUCCGUUGUCUACUGUUUUAAAAACUCAUACAGGCAGAUGUGGAAUUACUGAUUGUCUUUAAAGACGGGAAAUCUUCUUAGGUAUACAAGCAGUCUACAGGGCCACAUUGUGGCAAGGCUGUACAGCAGGGGUCUUUAAAUGUUUUGUGUAUGUGCCAAGGACACCUGUGGUGGUGGGAUGACACCUCUAGUUUGCUUCUCAGAACACUUAUAAAUGGAUAACAUAAUUCAUAUGAUUACAAAGAAACCAACAUAUUGAAACACAGUUAUCAAAGUAUUGCAAAUUUGUGAUCUAGUCACGCAUUUGCUUGUUCUUUAAUCUGUUGAUUAUAGUCCCCCCUAGUAAUUG